rnacentral:rRNA from 1 species
AUACGGAGGGUGCAAGCGUUGUUCGGAAUCACUGGGCGUAAAGAGUACGUAGGCGGAUUUUUAAGUCAGAAGUGAAAGCCCAGGGCUCAACCCUGGAACUGCUUUUGAAACUGGAAGUCUAGAGUCCCGGAGAGGUUAGGGGAAUUCCGAGUGUAGCAGUGAAAUGCGCAGAUAUUCGGAGGAACACCAGUGGCGUAGGCGCCUAACUGGACGGGAACUGACGCUGAGGUACGAAAGCGUGGGGAGCAAACGGGAUUAGAAACCCCAGUAGUCC